CCUACGGGAGUCUGCAGUGGGGAAUAUUGGGCAAUGGGCGAAAGCCUGACCCAGCAACGCCGCGUGAAGGAAGAAGGCUUUCGGGUUGUAAACUUCUUUUGACAGGGAAGAGCAGAAGACGGUACCUGUCGAAUAAGCUACGGCUAACUACGUGCAAGCAGCCGCGGUAAUACGGAGGUGGCAAGCGUUGUCCGGAUUUACUGGGUGUAAAGGGCGUGUAGCCGGGCUGACAAGUCAGAUGUGAAAUCCGGGGGCUCAACCCCCGAACUGCAUUUGAAACUGUUAGUCUUGAGUAUCGGAGAGGCAGGCGGAAGUCGUAGGGGAGCGGUGAAAUGCGUAGAUAUUAGGAGGAACACCAGUGGCGAAGGCAGCCUGCUGGACGACAACUGACGGUGAGGCGCGAAAGCGUGGGGAGCAAACAGGAUUAGAUACCCGAGUAGUC
rnacentral:rRNA from 1 species